AGAUACAUUGAUUCAAAGAUCCGUCUAAGAAACUCGACUGAAAGAUUCGACUCGUUUGCGAACGCCGAAUCUUUUACCUCAGAAGAUAUCAAAAACACUCGAAGAUUACUGUGAGCCAUGCAGUCGGAACGGCCCGCUAAGAUGGAAAGAUCCGCGAGCUCAACUCCGAAUGCUGUUUUCUCCUCACGCUAAAGGGUCGCUGGGAGCCUGGAGUCUAUCCCAUGGCGGGGGACAUGCUGGACGGGGUGCCAACUCAUCGCAGACACAUUUACACACUUCGGACCAUUCGGCAGUGCCGAUCAGCCUCGUCUUUGGACUGGCAGAGGAAACCAGAGUACCGAGUGGAAACCAGUGAAGCACGGGGAGAACAUCGCACACACGGGGCGGAGGCAGGAUUUGAACCCCCAACCCUGGAGGUACAUGGCAAACAGGUUAACCAGUAAGCCACCAUGUCCCUCUUAUGUUUAAUUAGUUCGAGGAAAAUAUAUCGAGAUAUAGGCAUUUGGUGUUAUGCCUGGUGAGUGUACACAGCUAGUGCAGUUAGCUAACAAAGCUAAUACAAAGCCUGGCGUGUAACAUUUAUCAAACAACCAAUUUUCAUACAUUAAUCUAUUUAAAAUACAUUUUAAGCAAAAGUAAAACGCAUACCGUAGUAAAUUGUGUGCUGUAGUCUAUACAUUUUGGCUGCUAUGCUUUCUCAUCAGAAAUAAAAACACUGGACGUCCACAAGAGACAGACCACAAGCGACAUGAGCACCUUGUUGCUAGCUACU